CGGCGGACGGGUGAGUAAUGCCUAGGAAUCUGCCUGGUAGUGGGGGACAACGUUUCGAAAGGAACGCUAAUACCGCAUACGUCCUACGGGAGAAAGCAGGGGACCUUCGGGCCUUGCGCUAUCAGAUGAGCCUAGGUCGGAUUAGCUAGUUGGUGAGGUAAUGGCUCACCAAGGCGACGAUCCGUAACUGGUCUGAGAGGAUGAUCAGUCACACUGUAACUGAGACACGGUCCAGACUCCUACGGGAGGCAGCAGCG
rnacentral:rRNA from 1 species